AUGAAAAGAAGAGAGAGGGACAAGAAGGAAAAAAAGAUGAUUGAUCUCAAUGAAGCAUCGAUUGACGUAGAGUCUGUCAACAUUUCAGUUGAGUUGGGUGCGCCCUUCUUAAAGACAGCCUAUGAUCAACAUGAUAUUCAUUGGGAGGAGGGUGUUGGAAGAAUGAUGAUGGUGAUGUCAUCAUACUAUCACUGGUACAACGAUGUGCUAUACAAACGGUUUUUAACCCCUUUCCAUGACGGCAUUUGGAACCAUAGCCAAGUGGGUGUGGGCGAUAGGGGGUCCUUCCCACACGACCCAUAA
rnacentral:rRNA from 1 species